UAACGCGUGGGUAACCUGCCUCAUACAGGGGGAUAACGGUUAGAAAUGACUGCUAAUACCGCAUAAGCGCACAGUACCGCAUGGUACGGUGUGAAAAACUCCGGUGGUAUGAGAUGGACCCGCGUCUGAUUAGCUAGUUGGUGAGGUAACGGCCCACCAAGGCGACGAUCAGUAGCCGACCUGAGAGGGUGACCGGCCACAUUGGGACUGAGACACGGCCCAGACUCCUACGGGAGGCAGCAGUGGGGGAUAUUGCACAAUGGAGGAAACUCUGAUGCAGCGACGCCGCGCGAGUGAAGAAGUAUUUCGGUAUGUAAAGCUCUAUNNGCAGGNAAGAAAAUGACGGUACCUGACUAAGAAGCCCCGGCUAACUACGUGCCAGCAGCCGCGGUAAUACGUAGGGGGCAAGCGUUAUCCGGAUUUACUGGGUGUAAAGGGAGCGUAGACGGCGACGCAAGUCUGAAGUGAAAUACCCGGGCUCAACCUGGGAACUGCUUUGGAAACUGUGUUGCUAGAGUGCUGGAGAGGUAAGCGGAAUUCCUAGUGUAGCGGUGAAAUGCGUANAUAUUAGGAAGAACACCAGUGGCGAAGGCGGCUUACUGGACAGUAACUGACGUUGAGGCUCGAAAGCGUGGGGAGCAAAACAGGAUUAGAUACCCUGGUAGUCCACGCCGAAACGANGAAUACUAGGUGU
rnacentral:rRNA from 1 species